CCUACGGGUGGCUGCAGCAAGGAAUCUUCCCCAAUGGCCGCACGGCUGAGGGAGCAACGCCGCGUGGAGGACGACGGCCUUCGGGUUGUAAACUCCUUUUCGGGGGGACGAGAGGGACGGUACCCUCGGAACAAGCCCCGGCUAACUCUGUGCCAGCAGCCGCGGUAAGACAGAGGGGGCAAGCGUUGUCCGGACUUACUGGGCGUACAGCGCGCGCAGGCGGUCGAGUAUGUGGCGGGUGACAUUCCGGGGCUUAACCCCGGACGGCGCCGGUAGACAGCUGGACUGGAGGCAGGGAGAGGGCAGUGGAAUACCCGGUGGAGCGGUGAAAUGCGUAGAGAGCGGGUGGAACACCAGCGGCGAAGGCGGCUGCCUGGCCCUGGCCUGACGCUGAGGCGCGAGAGCGUGGGGAGCGAACGGGAUUAGAUACCCCGGUAGUC
rnacentral:rRNA from 1 species